rnacentral:rRNA from 1 species
AUGAACGCUAGCGGAGGCUUAACACAUGCAAGUCGAAGGGCAGCAUUAUCGCUUGCGAUAGAUGGCGACUGGCGAACGGGUGCGUAACGCGUAUGCAACCUACCCUCAACUGGAGAAUAGCCCAGAGAAAUUUGGAUUAAUACUCCAUAGUAUUACAGAUUCGCAUGUUUCUGUAAUUAAAGUUUUAAUGGUUGAGGAUGGGCAUGCGUGACAUUAGUUUGUUGGUGAGGUAAUGGCUCACCAAGACUACGAUGUCUAGGGGUUCUGAGAGGAUGAUCCCCCACACUGGUACUGAGACACGGACCAGACUCCUACGGGAGGCAGCAGUGAGGAAUAUUGGACAAUGGAGGCAACUCUGAUCCAGCCAUCCCGCGUGCAGGAAGACGGCCCUAUGGGUUGUAAACUGCUUUUAUACAGGAAUAAACCCCUCUACGUGUAGAGGGCUGAAGGUACUGUAAGAAUAAGCACCGGCUAACUCCAUG